rnacentral:lncRNA from 1 species
UCGAAUUGGCUUACACUCGCCACAAGCUACAAUAAUGUCACAUCAAUACAUCAACAUAUUCAAUCACCAUGUAGAAGAGCAGAGUCCGACUAGGGCGAAAACAAACGGUAAAAGAACGACGCUCAUCCUUGCUAUCCCAGGCUGCUGGCCUAGAACCCAUCCUAGAUCGAAGAAGAAGAAGAAGAAGAAGAAACUCCAAAUGAAAAAUCAACGUGCUCGUGUUAAAGUAACCCUUUACCUGUACCUGCAACUGGUGUUGUAGUAGUAUGUGAGCCACAUGGACUCAACAAUCUCAUUCCCAAAGGUAUCAAGACUAGCAAAGCUUAAUAGGUGAGGCAUGGUGAAGUGGUGAG